rnacentral:lncRNA from 1 species
UGCCCGUGGACAAGUAAAAAAAUAUACAACAUGUACAAGACAAAGUUCAAAUCCAACAACAACAUAAAAUUAAUUUCAAAACGUAUAACGAUGUUUAAUUUAUGUAAAAGAAACCAAUCUUCAGCAAGUAAAAACAUCAAUGUUCAUGACGAUAAAUAUUACAUGAUACUGGAAAUAGAUCGAUUACCAAAAUAAAUAAAAAUAAGUAUGCGAACCAGAGUCGCGUAACAUUGCAUUGGCUUUGUCCAUUGACCCUGGAUCGUCGAUUAAGUUUUAUCCAUCAUUUACCGGUUGUGUCAUUUCUUUAAAUUUUGUAUCGAGAUUCAGAUUGACAAAUACUUAAUAAAAAGCUGGGCAAGCAAGACAAAAAGAAUCAUGAGUCGAGUAGAAAACCUUAAAUGCAAACGGAGGACACAGAGUAUUUAAAAUAAAAAAAGAAACGGAAGCGAGAAUCACUGUCCUCAAAUUUAGUAUAUUAUGUACCUACUGGCUACAAUUUUUAUUCCAAAACUGCUGCAAAAUUGUCCUUUACAUGUCAUUUCAUUGGUUGGUUUGCUGUUAGGUUUCUGUCCCACUGGUGUUAACCCAUUUCCUACUUUCCUAAUUUUUUACACAUAUAAACAAAUGGAUUUCAUU